AUCAUGACCAAUAUUUGGGUUGAUCAAUUAGGCUGGCCUGUGCGGGCUUCCAAAUCUUACAAAAAUACAGAGAAGACAGGCUAAUGCAUUCGCACUUUAUGAGUUUCAUUUGUCAGUGACAGAAAGGGUAGGAAUGCUCGUUUUGCUGUUAUGCAAUAAAGUCAAAUUUGUUUGCACUAAUGUAAAAAUUUGGGGUCUGGCAGACUUGGACGUUUCAUUAAGGAGAGACAGAAACUGUAGGCCAUGAAAAUGGCAAUAAUUUAGUCAUCCUCUGACCACUUAGCUGAAGAAUGUUUGUUUGCAUAACUUCCUCAGAGACAGCAAACUAAGCCUAUUAAUAACUCCUUUCAUAAGCUGUCAAUAAAAAUUGGAUUCCGGGAAAGGAGUAGUGUAAGGCAGAUAAAAGACUUCUUUUCUCACUGCUCCAACACUUAGCAUUAGCAACAACACAUUAUUAGGCUGCAGUAUUCAGCGAGUCAUCAAGUAAAGCAGGGCUAGAACUAUUUCUACCACAUACUACAUUGCUUUUCCACAACUGGCCAUACGAAGCCUUGUGUUGACCAACCAUGAAAGCUAAGCACAGGAAUCACCAGAGUUACACAGGCUGGAGAAGUGACUUGCCAUGCCAGGUUUUGUAUGGACAGGCUUAGACCCUGGGCGACAACAAUUUCCCCAGUAUCGUAUUAAACCACCUCAAAAUGACAGUAUCCCUUUACACGGACGCCGGUGGAAAGCUAUAGCAAAAUGACUGUUGUGGAAACUCCUUCUGGGGGGGUUGCGAGCAACUUUCUCUCUUGUCCACUGGACUUCGUGCACAAAAUACUUUUUCUCAAGAGGACUAUGAUUAUCUCCGAGCUCACAGAGGAUCUUCAGGCUGUGAAUGUCUUCCAAGUGCUGCCAGUUACAGGGAAAAAUGAGCGUCCCCCGACUCCGCCGACAAACGCCGAGAACAAGCAGAAAGCGUCGUGACCGGUCAUCUCUAGUACGAAUGGACACUGCAAAAGCAACAAAGCAAAGACAAGACGGGACUCACCGCAUUUGGACUUUUUGGCUGCUGGAAAAAAAGGAACGCCGGACUUCAAACGCGGUUAAGACCGGCGAUGGCAAAUGAGUAAGUCGUGGCCCAAAAAUGAUUGCCUUAAUUAUUACACAUAUACAGAUGUAUGACGUGAUGAUACUAAGAGACUUAAUACGAGUUCAAAGAUGUUUUCUUUACGUGUGAAAAAAAAAGUGUCUUGUAAGGAACAGAUGUGAAUAUUUUAAUAUGAUAGAGAACAAUGUUUGGUUGUACUGUUGACAUAAUGUUUUAGUUGGGUCUGCUUUGUAGGUGUCAUUGGUUACUAAAUGGUGAGUUUGCUCUCUGCUUAUGCGCAGUCAGCAGUAUGACUUGAUCUAUUUUUAUCUUGUUUCAUAUUGUGAACCAAACAAGGCUGGCCUGAGUUGCUCACUCAAACGCUGGCUUCAAAGUCUCUUAAUUCACACCAUGCCAUAACACAUGAAACACAUUACGAUAAAAAAAAAAAAAAAAAUCUUCAUCAAGACAUUCAGAGCGUGCAAAGAGGGUAGCGAGGGAAAUCUGACAUGUAUAUUGACUGGUUCAAUGCAGCACACUGGAAUACAUAAGUCGAAUAUCCUCUUAUUCUUACAUUAAGAUCCACUUACACUAAAACAAAGAUGUCAGGCACAUACACACCAACAUGAAUAUCCGCCACACUCACUUUCUAUCACAGAAAACAGUGGUUGAAAUUCCCUGUGGGCAUUCGCUGUCCGAGAAUCAUCUAAAGAUGAAAUACCUUAGGUUUUUUUCUCAGAUGCAAAUUUAGAGCUGACCAGCUGCUUUGUUGAUAUGUUUCCACUUUGAAUUUAACUGUAUGCAAAGUAACAUGGACGUGUGUUCUAUAUUUUUUUAAACCUAGCCUUGAUAAUUACAUAACCAAAGGUGAAACCCUGAAUUUAUUGUAUGUUGUGGACUUCUUCUGGAAAACAUGUUGUGACAUAGAUGCACACUGAGUAGAACAAAAUGUAAAUACGCAGACGUUUAUACUUGUGUGUCCUAAGAUGUGUCGCACAUAGGAGUAAUUUGAGACUUUUUACUUUCUUUGACUGUUAUCACCAUCGUCCAUUAUCAUCUGUGUUUGGUUUGUCUUUGCUGAAACACUCGUGUUCCUCAUAUUGUCGUGAAUGCUGCUCCAACAUUCUCCAUUGUCAUGAUUUUGGCAGAAGGGGUUGUUUUUUUUGUUUUUUUGUUGUUUUUUUUUUAACAGACUGCCCAUUGAAAAUCCACCCACUCUGUUUUCUGGCCUUCUUACUAAAACACGGGGUUGCUCACAGUUUUCUGUUGCAGCCUCAGAGAAGCAUUUGAUUUCCUCACCACAGAUUAAUAUUAUGAUGUCCCUGAAUGACAUUAUUAUUGUCCACUGACACUUUUACUUCAAGCUUUUUUAGGGAAGAGUAUAUCAUAUUCUUUUUCUAGACGGUGUGUUACCCUCCUAUCUUUUCCUUCAAACCCUCCCUACACAUACACACACACACACACACACAAAUGCACGCACAGACACACACACACCUUUCUAUAAUGUCACUUAAAAAAAACUUGAAUUUAGAGCUCUUCGUCUUACUGUCGUUUUCGUCUAAUCGCAUAGAGAGAAUCCAAAGUAAACCUUUUCAGAAAAUUGGUAUCUGUAAUUACCUCAAUAACAGUCAGUGUCCCUUAGAAAAACUGUUUACCGAAUGUUUUCAGAUAUUUCCUUAAUGUCAGUGUCAUAAAACCUCGUAAAAAA